AACGAACGCUGGCGGCAUGCUUAACACACGCAAGUCGAACGAGACCUUCGGGUCUAGUGGCGCACGGGUGCGUAACGCGUGGGAAUCUGCCCUUAGGUACGGAAUAACUCAGAGAAAUUUGUGCUAAUACCGUAUGAUGUCGAAAGACCAAAGAUUUAUCGCCUAAGGAUGAGCCCGCGUAAGAUUAGCUUGUUGGUGAGGUAAAAGCUCACCAAGGCGACGAUCUUUAGCUGGUCUGAGAGGAUGAUCAGCCACACUGGGACUGAGACACAGCCCAGACUCCUACGGGAGGCAGCAGUGGGGAAUAUUGGACAAUGGGCGAAAGCCUGAUCCAGCAAUGCCGCGUGAGUGAUGAAGGCCUUAGGGUUGUAAAGCUCUUUUACCAGGGAUGAUAAUGACAGUACCUGGAGAAUAAGCUCCGGCUAACUCCGUGCCAGCCGCCGCAGUAA
rnacentral:rRNA from 1 species